rnacentral:lncRNA from 1 species
AAAUAAAGCUAAUUUUGAAAAAAUAAAAAGUUCUUAUUUAGAAAAAGAUUUAAAAAUACAGACUGUUAACAAGCUGAAAGGAAAACAACAUGCAAUAAGUCAUGAAAUUUCUGAAAAAAUAGAAGAUGUUCAUAAUCUGUCAGAGAACAUUGAUAGUAUUUUUUUAAAACAAAAAGAAAAUAUAUCAAAUAGAAGUAAUAAAAAAAGGAGCUCAAGUAGUGAAAGCAUGAAUACUAUAAGAGGGUCAGAAAGUUCGAAGGAAGUAUUUGAGUUUAAUACGAGUGAGCAAAACGAGCUGGACGAUCAAGACGAUAAAAAGGAAGAAGAACAUGAAGGACAUGACGAGCAUGACGAGCAUGACGAGCAUGACGAACAUGACCAAAGUGUGAUAACACAAAUAAACACAAAAAAUAAGAUAUUUGAAUUUUUAGAUAAGACAAAAAGUGCUUACAAAUUCUUAAACUUAGAAAAAUUAUUCGAAUGCAAUAAAGUGACUGAUAUGUUUAACGAUGAAAAAAAUAAUGAACUGAUUAUUGAUAAUGAUUUAGAUGUGAAUAAAAAAACAGGUUCCAGUAGGAGUAAUAGUACUCAUAAAAGUUGUGUGCACAAAAUAAAUGACACUCGACAAAGUGAUACUCGUGUAAAUACUACUCGUGUAAAUACUACUCGUGUAAAUACUACUCGUGUAAAUGGCACCCGUGCAAGUGGCACCGGAACAAGCGGGACCGGAACAAGCGGGACCGGAACAAGCGGGACCAAAACAAGCGGGACUCAAAAGAACAUGAUUCAAAAAACUAUUGCUGAAAAGCUUAGUAUGAUCAAAGCGUUUGAAAAAAAAAUAAAAAGUAAAAAUUCAGUAGUUGUAGAAAAUGCUUAUAAAGUUUUUAAAAGCACCUUUAAUGACUUUGUAGAUGUAUAUUUGCAAAACGAAAAUGAAUCUGUUAAAUAUAUGUAUGAUCAUAAUAAUAAUAAUAAUAAUAAUAAUGAUAAUGAUAGGGAUAGGGAUAGAGUGUAUAAAACAAGUAAUGACAUUAGUGCAGCCACAAAGAGUAGUACUAAAUUAGAUCCCAAAGGACAUAACUAUAAAAGUGAAUCGAUACAAAUUAAUGAAAGUAGUAAAAAUGAAGAAGAAUUUAAAAUUGAUAGUAACCCUUUUAAAACGUCUGAAAUAUAUGCUUAUAAUUGCUGUAAUAAAGAAAAAAAUAUUUAUGAAAACAAAAACCAAAAGACAGAUGCGCAUGAUAUACACAAACAUAACAACGAUGAUAAAAGCAAAGAAAAUAUUAUCAAUCAUACAUUAGUACAAGAUAUAUAUAAAAAUAAAACAAAUGAUCAUAAUGUAUAUAACAUUAAUUUUUUUAAUAAAAAUAAUACAGUAGAACAUGAAAAUUCGGACACUAUUAAAAAUUUAUUUAAUAAAGAAAAAAAGAAUACACAGCAAAAUUUAUCUGACCCAAAAAAUAUGCAGUUGCAAAACAAAAGUACAAAUAAAAGGGAUAACCAAAGAUAUCCUUAUGUUGAAGAAGUUGAAUAUUCUAGUAUAAUUUCUGAAUAUCUAAAUAAUAGUAAUCGUGGGAAUGUCAGUCGCGGUAAUUCCAUUUAUUUUGGUGGCACUCAUAACAGUAGUACUAAUUUUGAUGUUAGUUCUAGUAAUAUAAUCGAAAAGGUUAAACAUCAUAAUAGCAAUAAUGUAACUAAUAGUUGUACACAGAUACAGAAAAAGCAAAGGGACGGAAAAAUUUUGAAUACCCAAGUAAAUGACAAAAACAUUUUUGACAUUUCUUCUUUAACUUAUAAAUAUAAAUACAAAUCCAACAUUAUUUUAUCUAUAAAUAAAAUUAAGAAUAUAGAAAAAGUGAUUGAAAUAGAAUUGAAUUUGGGAGAUAUUCAGUUUAAAGUACCUGGAAUGCGAGUUGAAAAUUUAAUACUACCUUAUAAAUUCUAUAAUGACAUUCUACAUAUACAAAUAAAAACGUUACAAGAAGGGGAUGGAGAUAAAGAUGAAGGUAUAACAAAAAAUGUUUCGAAAAUUCCUAGUAUUAAUUAUGGUAACAACAUAUAUAAAAGACAGGAUGUAGUAAAAAACACAUACUGUGCAUCACAGGAACAGUUAAAUAGCACGUCACAUUUUACUAUUAAAACAUACUAUGUUUGUAUACCAGUAAGUAACAUACAAAAUGAAAUUAUUAAUAAAAGACUUUUUUUAAUUAAUGCAGAAUGUAAAAAAAAAUUUGAAAAUGAGAAAUUGUUACCUGAAAGUAUAUAUUUAAUUCAAUCAAAAGAAAUGUCUUCAAACAAUGAAAGUCAUAUGUAUAUAUCAAUUAAAAAAUGCAUGAAUGGUAUACAUUUUUAUCCCAUUGAAAAUGACACUACUAAUAAAUGUAACAAUAAUAAUAAUAAAAAUUUGUCACUUUCUCAAACAAACACGAACCUAUUAUUUAAACCUAUCUAUGUCAGCUUAUAUAAUGAUGCAAUAGACAUAAUAGUUGGAGAAUUUAUUAACCAAUACAGUUUAAUUAAUAAAAUAAAAAUUGAAAAAUUAGAUAAAACUGGUUUUUAUAUUAUUAACAACAGUCGGUUUCAUUUUUUCUUUAAUAAAGAUAACAUAUUAGUAUAUAACACUAAUAAUGAAAAUAAUCAAGUAAGUAAAACAACAUUAACUAAUAGUAAUACUGUAUCAGAACAUGCAAGUAAUUUAUUUAUUUUUUUGUCAUAUAAUUAUAUAAUGGUAAAUUCUUUGUUAGAUAUAUUUCCUUUAAUAAUUUUUCCCCUAAUUGACCAAAUUGAGUAUUUUGAUUUUAUUAACAAAAAUGAAAUAUUAAAAUUAAAAUUUAUGCUUCAUUUUUUAGCCAUCAUGGAAAGAAUAUCUAUUCAUUUAUGUUAUAGUCUUAAUCUAAAUAUUUUUAUUCAACCGAUUUUUCAGAAUCAUAUAAAACCAGUCAUAAUAAAUGAUGAAUAUGGAAAAAAAAACUAUUUUACUUUUUUAUACACUUCUUAUAAAGACACGGAAGAUAACAAUAACUACGUUUUCAAUUACAGACGUCCUUUCAUCUUUAGGUUUCAGGAGGAGGAAAUAAGUGUAGGUGGUAAUGCUAGAAAUAAUGAUAGAAAUAAUGAUAGAAAUAAUGAUAGAAAUAAUGAUAGAAAUAAUGAUAGUGAUAAUCCUAGUGGUUGUACCAAUGUUGACUACUGCGAUGUUGAACUAUCAAACGAUGCGAGUGAAGUACUAAAUCGGAAUACAUUUUUCAUAUGUAAUUACGCAAAAAAACAAGCUAUAUUUUUACAUAACAAAAUAUACAAUCAUGAUGAAAUUAAAAACAUUACAAAAUGUUAUGAUAAAGAAAAACAUAUAUUCUAUACUAAUGAUUAUAAAAAAAAACAAAUGCAAACUUAUUAUAUAAACAUUUUAAAUAGAUAUAAUAGUUUAGUCAAAGAAAGUCAAAAUUAUUACAAGGAUUGCUAUUCUAUUAGCCAUUACGACAAAAGUAACAAAAUGGUAGGCAUAAACAAUAUAGAAACUGAAUAUAUGCAAAAAGAAGGUAUAAAAAGUGUUAAUAAUAAAAGUAUUGUCAAUUCAAUUAUUCCAAAUAAUAAAGAAAAUUAUAUAACUCAUGAUGAUAAUCAAAGGGUAAUCGCUGAUCAACAUAUGUUUGUUCAGGAUUGCGUUCCAUUUAGGACUGACAUAAGUGAUGGCGUCAUAGGUGAUACCAAUAGCGGAUUCAGUAGCAGAGGUAGUAGCGGGAUUAGUAACGGGACUAGUAGUAAGACUAGUAGUAAGACUAGUAGUAAGACUAGUAGUAAGACUAGUAACGAGACUAGUAGUAAGACUAGUAACGAGACUAGUAACGAAUCUAACAACAGUAGUCACAUUAGCAAUAAAGAUAUUUACAUUAAUAAUUCUAAAGGACAAACCCAAAAAAGCGAAUGUAAAGAACAAAAAAAUUUUGAUAUAUACAUAAAAAACGUAGAACCUGAAAAAAAUACUGUCAAUUUGAAUAGAGUUAUAAUACCUAAUAAUUUGGAGAAAGAAAAUAUAAAUAUGAUAAACACAAUAGAGCAUACUAAAAAUGAUACAGAAUAUAUGCAAAGUAAAUUUGCAUUAGCUCAUAUGAUUAAAAAAAAGAAUAACAUCGACAAUUACAUUGUCAAAAACCGUGACUGUAACAACAGUAAUGAUGAAAAACAUACCAAUAACAAUAAUAUUCUUCAAAAUGAAUUUAUAACAAAUAAAGAACGUAUGUAUAAUAUAAAAACGAAUAAUAUACAUUUUUUGAAUACUAAAAACAACCAAACAUUUUUAAAUGUACAUGGUGGUAUACAUUUGGAAAAUAAUGAUGCGAGAGAAAUGGUCAGCAGAAAUAAUAUGGUAAGCCUUAAUAUGACUAACCCAGAUCCAGAUGUAGCAAUCGAAAAUAUGACUACAUCAAGUGUAGCAAUCGAAAAUAUGACUAAAUCAAGUGUAGCAAACAAACACAAUAACUAUUAUCCCAUUAGUACCGACUGUCAUAAUAUUAUUACUAAAGAUAAAUUUUAUUAUGCAUAUAAUCAGAACGUACAAAAUGAUAAAAAAAAAACUGAAAUAAAUAUAGAGGAAUUACAUAAUAGCACAAAUGAUUAUAACCAAGUAUUAUACUCAACUGAUUUGGGUCCAAAUGAUAAUAAUAAUAAUAAUAAUAAUAAUAGUAAUGCAAAAUAUAAAAAAAAAAAAAUUAUAAUGAUAAUAAUAAUAAUAACAGUGGUAAUGAUAAUAUUGUAUUAAAUUGUAAUGAUGAAAUAAAAAAAAAAAUUGAAAACGGAAACUCA